CACAAGGAACGCAACAAAUGUGGAAAAAGUGACGAUAGAAACAAACGCUCUUUACGAGACAAACGAUCGCGUGAAACUGUGCCAGCCGAAUUGCAAUUGCAGUGCCCAGAGCUCUGUUUAUGUCUCGCAUGCCGGUGUCGAUGUUGUUUAUGCAGUCGUCGCGAUUCUUAGAAUCAAUGCAUGAAAUUGGCAGCAAAUACAAUGCAAAAUAUCGGGGCAGAGCAGUAAUCGCUGGCGCACAAACAUCGAAACGCCAACGUUGAAUAGGUCAGCUCUUUCCCGCUAGCAAUCUGCCCUGAACAUCAGGAUAAUAGUGAAGGGAAAUAUUAAAAGCUUGAAAGCAAAGAUAUAGCGUUGACGAAAGUAUUCUUUGAGAAAAUAGUAAAUCGUAACCACCUCAAUCACCCAUAGAAUGGAUUCGUUCACAACUACUAAAAUAAUGAUAAACAAUAAAUUUAACAGUGAGAUUACCAAGCUUGCAUUUGAAUCAGUUUAAAAAUGGAUCGAACGGAACUGUAUGACCCCGUAAAAUUUAAGGCGAAAUCCUAUAUUUCAGAAACUAUUAAACCAACAUUAAAUUUGGUGUAUACCAAUCACCUGAUAUCCUUAUGUUACAUUGCUGUAAGUUGGACUCCACACAUGUGGAAACUAUGACAUAAUUUUCAAUUCAAACAGAUUAUUUCACUAUAAAGCAUCAGCGAAUAUAUCAGAAUAUAACUUAGCACAAUAUGUAUAUAUAUAUGUUAAUAAAUAUAUAAAUAGAAAAUA